CUGCCUGAGAAUUCCAUUCCCUGCCAUGUACAGGAACAUGUAGCCAAGAAUAUGGUCCUGUGGGAACACUGUCUUCUGAAAACAAGUGCAGGAUGAAAAAAACAACAAUGUUGUAUUUCAAUCACCACUUCUCUGGAUUUCUGCUUAUGCCCGUCAGGAAGAAUAAGUCAGGGUUGUGAAUGCCCUGUCUACCUUGCGAGCCAUGGACAAUGGGGAUACACCAGUAGUAAGCAAAGCAAUCAGCUCCCAGGCAGAGGGGAAGACUGCAUUUGCAUUGUAAAAUUGCAGCAGGAAACAUCAUAUGAGAACUCACCAGGAGGGGGCGCUUUGAUCAAGGUGGUGUCACCCCCUCCCACCCCCAGA